CUUUAUGAGAUUCAAAAAAGGCAGUUCAACAACUCACGAUUUACAACAACACGAGCUCCAUCCAGGACCUAACUGAAAGCAGCGAGCGGUGUAACAACACUCCAAGGAAAGCAGCACAUGCCGCUCAGAUCUCAACCGGGACCCUCUUGUACAGCUCCUCCUUCUCCAGGCGCGGCGUGGCGAUGGCCUGCAGCGGCGUGCCCAUGAAGGUGACGAGCCCGGGGGACUCCAUCAUGCUAAUGUCCUCCGGCCUGGUGCCUUCCGGCAGAGACCACUUGAAAUGGUGCAGCAUGUGCCCGAUCAUGGAGGCGACGAGGUUGAUCCCGAGCUGCGCGCCGGGGCACACCCUCCGGCCCGCGCCGAAGGGCAGCACCCUGAAGUCACUGCCCUUGAUGUCGAUGCUCUCCUCCAGGAAGCGCUCCGGCCUGAACUCCAGCGGACUGCUCCACACCUUGGGGUCUCGGGCCACCGCCCACACGUUCACCAUGACGUUGGCACCCUUGGGGAUGUUGUAG
rnacentral:lncRNA from 1 species